UAUAUUUGCUCUUGUUCCUGGAUUUUGACUUUUGUUUGGACUUUUCUCCAUUUUUUGACCUGCCCUCUUUUUUCCUCUGACGGACCUCCUCUCCAGCCAUAUCGUGUUUCUCCUCUGAGUUCUGUUCCUAUGAACAAAAAGACAAGAUAUCAAUCUGCAGCAUCAGACACAGAUGUGAAUCAGCAGAAUCAGCAUGAAUUAGCUUCUCAACUGGGCAUGUUGCUUGUUCAUUAUAAUCCACUUUAUACAGGGUCUCUAAUAGGGUAGCCAUGGCCACAGGGCAGAAAUCAAAUUUUGACACACCACCAGUUCAUUGUGGCGCUCACAAUGCUAGGUGUACCUACCUGACCUAACAUGCACAUCUUUGGGAUUCAGAAGAAGCCCCAUACGGAGACGAUGGCUUGGGCACUUUGUUUUCUCUCCACACCAACAUGGAAGAUUUUUAAUAGAAAAUGAUGAUCCUGUUUCUCCGUAUUGGCAGACUUGUCUAAUGUAAUGGACACAGAUGGACUGGAACCCUGGCCCUGAAAGGUGGUGUUUUACCCAGGUGACCAUCAAUAUGGAUGGACAGCCAGGAUAGUUUGGCAUCCUGACCAGGAUGGGUACCACUUCCAAUAGUAUGAAGAGCCAAUGGAGAUAAGGGAACUGCUUUUUGAGAGCAACUGGUUCCCCCAGUAUACAAGUUGGCUGUGCUCCUCUGGCGUGCCUUUGGUUUAGACUAUCACAGGGCUACAUGGGAACUGUAGUUCAGAAGAGCAACCCUGAUAGAUUCCUUGAAGAAUGCCAGAAGACAUUAGUGAGAAUGGCCGCUCCACCCUGCUCAGAAAUGCUUCUGGGGUAUAACAGUCUGGCAUCAGAAGUACUCCUGGGUCCAGCAUAAAAUAAAAAAACAGCUGCUCUGUCUUACGCAGAGAAUCAGAGACAGGAUGAAGUGGACAAAACUUGGAUAAGAGGAAAAGGAAACAACAAGGAAUUUAUGAGUGUAUUGAGUCUGUGGAAAUAUCUCUCUAUUAUAAAAGGAAAUCGUGAGACAAGACUUUUUCAAAGAGAUAAUUUCAACUCCCGUAAGACUUUGGCCAAGUCAAGUCACGCCCUCCUCUCAACCAUAUUCAACCACGCACACGGCCCUCUCACCUCUCAUUCGUGUGAAUGCUUUUGUCAGACGCAGUUCCUGCUCUCUUAGCUCUUAUAAAUUUUUAUGUUUUCCUCACUUUAAGUUCCCAAUAAAAGAAGACUUAAUAUGUCCAAAUCUUAUUGAAGAAUUUCAUCACGAACGGUUAUCAACAGAAGAACUGAGUACAUGGGCGAGAAACGAUAAAGUCAAACGAAUUAACGUGAAAAUUGUCGAUCGGUUACACAGCAAAUUGGUUAAAUGCGUAUCACUAGACUAUGCUGAAACAGGUGAUGGUAUGGAAGAUGAAAAUAUCAGCGUACAAUAUUACGAAGAAUAUCUACAACUGUUAACACCGUACGGUCUUCAACCACCCGAAUUACAGAUGAAAGAAGGAUGUAACCAAGAAAGGUAAUGUAGUACAUCUUCCACGGAUAACAUUAGACACCAAAGGAGAUCUUGAUAUGCCAUUCGUAUUAAAACGUUAAAAGGUCCCCAUUAGAAUUGUUUUUGCAAAGACAAUUAACAAUUUACAGAGACAAACAAUUGAAAAAGUCGGUUUAUUUAUUAGAGACAAAGAAACAAAAUUCCCUCACAGGCAGUUAUACGUUGUGUUGUCACGAUGUAAGUCCAAACACAGAAUCAAAAUUCAAUGCUAUACUGAUGAAAAUUUAAUUUAAAAAAUUGUUUUUACUGAAGUUUUAUAGUUUAAAAAGUAUUUUUGUGUUGAUUUCAAAUCCAAACAGAACAAAAUCGUAUAACACAACAAAUAACUUUAACGCAACAUGACACCUAAUUUACUUUCAAAUUAUUAUGUUUUACUGUGGUUAAUUACUCACUGUAAUGUAAAAUAGUUAGUUCUAUUGUGUAUAUGUAACAAUUCCCAUGAAAAUAACAAUCUGUUUAAAUUGUACAUCUGCAUCCCCAUAUGUGAGGAUGUGAGGCUAGUGCGUAGCGCCAGCCCGGGGGUUGGCGAGCUGGGGCAAAGCCCCCUAGUUUCUGGAAAUAAAAGGUCUUUUGAAACUGGGACUUGUGUCUGACAUUUGGGAGUCUUAAGCACCCUUCACAGGUCACAUGAUUAAUCAGCAACAUUACAUUAAACUGCUGAGGUGUCAUCAGGGGAAAAAAAACAACAUCCAGAGAAGUGGCAAACUCAGAACAGCUCUCGGCACCAUGACAAUACACCUGGAGACACCGCGCUGUCAGUGGAGGAGAUUUCGAUGAAAAACAAUGUGAUUGUUGAUUUGCACACCUCGUAUUUGCCAGAUCUUCUUCACUGUGACUUCUUCAUGUUCCUGAAAUUAAAUUUGGGACUGAAGGGAAGAAGACUUGCUACUGUGGAAGAAAUCUGAGCAAAAACAUAGGAGGCGCAAGAUGUGGUAAGAAACGAAGAGUACAGGAGAUGUUAAUAAGAGUGGAAGAAACGCUGGGACAAGUGUAUUGCAUCUCAAGGAGAAUAUUUUAACAGUGACUACAUGGAAAUUGUGUGGCAAU